GAGAGAGGGCGAAAGGGGAGAGAUUACCGAGGGGGAGGGAAGAGAGGAAAAGCAGCAGGAGUUUAUGAUGCCGGAGUUUGUCAAAGGGCUCAACACGCAUUUCUGAAAGAACUUUCUGGAUGGGCCAAAGGAAGCCUCAUCUCUCUGAGUCUCAAAUCUGUCUGGGCUACAUGAUGCUUAAUGGCCUGGUGUCUAAGGAAAACAGGAGGCAGCCAGAUUAGGGCAAGCCAAGAAAAUAAAUUCUCUGUCCUCUGAUUCUCAGGUGCCCUGAGGAAAACACGUAUGAAUUCGCUCUUCCAGAUUUCAUUUGUGAUCAAACACACUGAUGUAAAGAAACAGGCUCACUCUGUGUAAACAUUUUUUUUCUUUUUCUUUUUUCUGUGGUGUCCUUAGAACAUGAGAGGUUGCUGUCUGAACUGAUCAUCUCAGAAACAACUCUGAAUCUAAACUGUCAAGAAAAUAACACAAUAUGAGGGAAAUUUACUUUUGAAAUAUUCUAUGAUGUCCCUCUCUUUGGCUCCGAACAGUUGUUAAGCAAAAAUUGAUGCUCAGCUAAAGGCAGGUCUUUCAACAGCAAUCUCAGUUGUAUCGAGUGAAACAUUUGCUAGGGGACAUUGCUCAGUUCAAAGGUAGAAAUUUUUAAGUGUAUAUAGACCAUAAGAUGCAAAAUGCAAAUUGGCUGAGAAAACAAAGGCAGUCUUGGGAAAAGUGCUAGAGAGGGGACAUCGUGGAGAGAGAGGAACAAGAUUUGAUUCAAUCAGCAUUUUAAAGCAAAGACCAAGGUCCUGUCUAUGAAGAAGAAGGUGAAGAAGGUGUUUCUAAGAUGAUGCAAUGAUCAGUCUGGUUGCACAGAGAAGAAAAUCAAGUCUAUGUCUUUUAUCUACCAGACUUGAGAUUGUGAGUGAGAAAGAAGCUUAGGGUUAAGACACUAGAAUGAUCAAGUUUGCUCAUGACAAGGAAGAAGGAGCAUACAGCCCAUCAGCUCAGGCCUGGGUGUGUCUGAUCCUGGCAGAGUUUCUAAGGUGAUAAAACCUUGAGCAAGUGGUGACAGCAAUCCUCUGGGAAAGAAACUUAGUCUCUAGAAUUUCCCCAGCGAUUUUUCUUCUAGUCUGUUCAGCCCUCAUGGAACACGUCAAAUUGAUAGCAAAGAAAGAGAUUCGAACCAGGUCUAAGGCUUUGAUGUACUGUUUGGGUUUUUUUUUAAAUUUAUUUGUUUUCCAGUCCAUGCCAACUGGAUAAACAGGUAGGUUUGAUUUAAGAAGAAUAAUUUUCCUCUCAGAUCCAAUUCACUUAUAUAAGCUUUUGAAAACUGGAUCCUCAAACUUGAUGGAAUUUCUCAGAUACCUUAUUUUUAUUGUGGAGUAUAUAUGUACCUGAUAUAGUGAGAAAAGGAGAGGAGAAUAUAUGCUAAGAAAAGGAGAUAUGCUUAGAAAAGGAAAAGAGAAUAUUCAUGCUAAGAAAAGAAGAGAAUAUUUUCUUUUUUUCAGGGGCUCUCUUUUGAAAUUCUGUUUCCAUGUUUAAUAUCUCUUUCACAGGUCUUCUGAUUAGCACUUAAAGAAAACUAAGAUUACAAGAGAGCAAGUUAGAGGUGGAGGGAGGCCUCAUUUCUGCUUAAUCCCAAAAGUAAAAUGGUAUGAAAGGAAGAAUAUGAUAAGGAAAGGAAGACUAUCAGAGAAUGGUAUGAGGGAGGAGCAUAGAAUUGGCAGAAUUAGGAAUUCCUCUAAAUCAAAGAGUAAAAGAAAGCACCCAGUGAUAUCUUCCCCAGUGCCUUCCAUCUUGCCACUUGAAAUAAGAAAGCCUUGAGAAGGAACAAAAAUGAGGAUUAGAAGCUGAAUGAUAUGGCUGACAAGCAAGAUUGGUUAUAGCCCCAGGUGAGAAGGGGAGGAUCAAUUGGCUAAAGUGCAAAAUAUAUUCAGUUUUUUGUGACUCAUUUAUUCCAAGUGCCAUUUGAUCCCAUAGGAGUCCUCGCCUGAUGCUGGAUAUCUCAUGUGUGGUUUAGUAAGCAACUGCCACUCCUAGUAAUUACCUUGCAAAUUUUAGGUCCCGGUACUGGAUUGAAUGGCAGCCCUUCAAGAGAGUCAUGUACAGUUUGUGAGGAUGAACAUCUAUGAAGACACAUCUUUGCAGAUAUAAUUGUGAAGGAUAGUGAGAUGAGCUCAUCAUGUGUUAGAAAAGGCCCCAAAUCCAAGAACAGGUGUCCCUGUGAGAGAAAAAAAAAGAGGAAGAAGAUGCACAGAGGGGUAGGCCAUGCGAAGACCGAAGCAGAGACUGGAUUUAUAAAACUAUAGGCCAAAGAGUGCCAGUAGCUUCUAGAAACUAAGAAAGAGGCAGGAACAGACUUCUCAGGGGUUCCAGAAGAAACCAGCCCUGCUGACACCUUGACUUCAGACUUCUGGCCACCGAAACAGUGAGAGAACACAUUUCGAUUGUUUCAAACCAGCCAGUUGGUGGUCAUCUGUUAUGUCAGCCCUACAACAGGAUGACAGACUCUCUUCAAAGCCAGCAUGGCUGUGCUGAAGAUGUUGUUCUUCAGUUGCUCAGUCAUGUCUGCCUCUUUGUGACUUCAUGGACUGCAGCAUGCCAAGCUUCCCUGUCCUUCACUGUCUCCCUACUGAAGAUGAGACAGAGUUAAAAAGCAAAAUGGAUUGAUUUGAGCUGAUUAUAACAUCUGUCUGGGCUAAUUCCUCCAGAAACUGUAAAUAGAUCAGUAAAUCAAUUCAAGCCACGUGUCAGUUGAGUCCAUACCGUGUGCUAAGCACUAUGGUAAGAAGCCAGGCAAUCAUCAGCUCGCCAGUCCUUAGGUCACUGAUAGUCUAAAUGUCCACAGAAAGUUUUUAUAGAUCGGUGAAAUCCUCUGGGAGAUGGAAACUCACACUUGGGGGAUAUAAGCACAUCGGAAAUUCUCUUGCCCACAAGGUGAGGACCCCAGCCACAGAACAGUGCAACUCACUUCGAUGCCCUGAAGAGGAAUAAACAUGUGCAUUUCAACUAGAAGCCAUCAGUCCCUUCGAGCUCUGUCUGUCUGUCAUGUGCAGAUGACCAGGGGAAGGGUCCUCAGAUUUCCUUGGUGAAGUACAAAAGGAGCAACACCAGCGUGGAGCCACCUGAUAUGGUGCUCUCCAGUUAACCUGUGGACAACGUGAUGCUUCAUGAAAGAAAAAAAAAAAAAAACUCACUUAAAAAAUUCUCCAUCGUCUAUCCCCAGCUGAGAAAAUAGGAAUACUUGUGAAAGUUUCUGAGAAGUCCCACAGUAAAACCCUUGCUUGUCAUUGUUUAACCCAACUCCUUCCAAGAUAAGUUAAACACAUGACCUCUCUUUACGAGACACCUAUUAACUUUUCACAGAACUUGGGUUUCAUGAAGCACUUCUUGAAGACUUUUGCCCUGGAAGGAGAUCGAGCCAAGCCUCUAAUCCUGCCCACCUAGGAUUUCAGCAGACGAUUAGGACAAUUCUAAACUAGAGUAAAUUGACCAGGGUUCUGACUCGAGGGAUUUACGCUUUAUGAUUUUAAGGAAAUCAACUUGGCAGGUAUAAAUUAGAAAAGCUCAGUGGUGAACAUGCAACCAGGUACUUCUUAAAUGUCAUUCCUGGAGAUACUGACCAGAUACACACAGCCCUUUCUAAAAAGAAUUUACUGAGCCAAGCUUGUCAAGUGGAAUUCCUCGUUGGAUUUCUCUGUAUACACGAGCUCCAGCGUUCUUAAUCUACUCAACUGACAGAGACUUAAAAUUUCUUAAGGAA